CCAAACCACUAUCUUCUUUUUCCUAAUGCCUUCAUUUUCUCCCAAAUCACAAUUUUCAUUUCGCUGCACCUCUCCGCCACCGUUGCCUGAAGCUUAAUUCCAUUCUCCGCUGCUCCUCUUCCUUCUCCGAGAAGCACCACACAAACUCCCCCAACUCCGAUGACGUCGUCGAGCUUCCUCUCUUCCCUCUCCCUCUGGUGCUCUUCCCCGGCGCCAUCCUCCCCUCCAGAUCUUCGAGUUCCCCUACUGCAUCAUGAUGCACACACUCCUCCAAACAAACCUCCGCUUCGGCGUCAUCUACACGGAUGCCGUCUCCGGAACUACCGCCGUUGACUGCGUCGGCGAAGUCAUAAAGCAUGAGAGCCUCAUGGAUGACCGCUUUUUCCUCAUCUGUAAGGGCCAGGAAAGGUUCUGAGUGAACAGUGUGGUGCGCACGAAACCCUACCUGGUCUCGCAGGUGACGUGGCUCGAGGACCGACCAUCUCCCUCCAUCGACCUCGAUCUGGACAGGCUGGCCACCGAUGUGGAGACAUACAUGAAGGAAGUUAUCCGGUUAUCCAACCGGUUGGGAGGGAAACCAGAGAAGGAGGUUGGGGAUUUGAGAAGAAACUUGUUUCCAACGACAUUCUCGUUCUUCGUUGGCAGCACCUUCGAGGGCGUGCCAAGGUGCAAAAUGAAUCUGGAAGCACCACAAGCGCCACCACCAACACUGCCAUGGCAACGGAAUCCAUGGUGUCAGCAUGCCACUGUUGUUGUUUGGUGAUGAAACUGAUGAGGAAACUGAAGCGACGUGGGCGCACACUACGACCGAAAAGUGUGAGUCGACAAGGUUUGUGGCAAAUCCAAGAACAACUUCUUCAUGCCCUGUUCUUCAACUAUAAUCAGGGAACUCCCAUUAACCACCACAAUGAAUCUCUUCACUUUUUUCUUUCUCAAACCCUCUUUCCCAUGAUAUAAAGAUGGGUAUUGUAGGGAUCUAAUGUCUAUGAGCUUCUUCCAUACCAUAUAUAUUGAAUCAUAUUAGUUAUCUUAUGGUUAAUUUCGUUUAACUUCAAACAUAUUCGUUGCUAAUCUCUUCAGAUGUCUUAUUUCCAGUGUUGAUUGGUGAUUUAUACUCUAUACCAAAUGUAUUGUUGCUUGUAAGUGUAACUUUGUGGCAACAUAUUGAGAAAAUAGUUGUAAAUUCUUUUCGUGCAUAAACUCAGCUUGCCAAGUAAGAGAAAAUUCCAUUAAUAUAUCUCCUUUCAAAUGAUCUUGUACAUUAGAGUUCUAAUUACAACUAUGAUGGAACUAAAAGAGUUAUAUGUUUGUUGUUUUUGCAGUCGUAUAUUUUCAGAGAUUAUUGGGAAGACAUUGGAACAAUGAAACCCGACAUUGGCUCUUACUGAAGAGUUCAUCGUGAUGUGAUCAAGCGCCUUGUGAAAGACAAGUCAGAGAAAGUAGCAGCUGGUGUUGAUGAUGAUUUUAUUUCAGAACUCAAGCCUCUGUCAAAAGAAGCUGUUGAAAUACAAAUGAAAGACCUUCAGUUCUUUCAACAAAAUAGUGAGACUUAACAAUGUGGUGAAGCCUGUAAUUUCCACUUUACAAUAUGACAGUUGAAAGCUUUUUCUUUUCUUGUUUAAAUGAUUAAACAACUUCUAAUGGUUUCAGAGUUUACUGUGAUGAUGGCAUUUAGGGGUCUUAAAAUAGUAUGUUGUGGAGUUUUGCAACUUCAGGCGUAUUUUCUUGUCCUUGAUGACAGUAUGGAUAAUUCUCACACACGUAGGGGUCAACCAUGCUGGUUUAGAGUGCCCGAGUUACAUGUGCAUUGCUCAUGGCGGGUGAGAAUCUGGAAAACCAUGUUGAUGUGAAGAACAUUCUUGUUGAGAUGGGAACCUACUUUCAAGUACCGAUAAUACUUUGCUAGUAUAGUUUUGAUCGCUUCUCUUAAGACCAUUUAGACUCUAGAAUGAUGUCUGUCUAGUGUAUACUUUCACUAUCAGCUUAAAAUAUUUCAUAAAAAAUCGUAUUUUGACGUAUCUUUUCCCUUCCCCUUCCCCCUCUAAUUUUAGGAUGAUUAUUUGGAUUGCUUUGGGGAUCCUGAUACUAUUGGAAAGAUAGGUACAGAUAUUGAAGAUUUUAAAUGCUCUUGGUUAGUUGCGAAAGCUUUGAAGCUUAGCAAUUAGCAACAAAAGAAAGUUCCAUACGACAACUAUGGGAGUGCAGAUCCAGAAAAUGUUGCUAAAGUAAAGGCCCUGUAUAACGAGCUUAAUCUUAAGACUUGUUGUAAAAGCAUAUGUAUUUAUGACUUCCAAUUUUGGCCUUAAAUUAAGUGUAUUUGAAAAAGAAGUGUUUCAAAUAAAGACGAUAAAGAAGUAUCAAAUGAUGAAGACGAUAAAGAAGUAUCAAAUGAUGAAGACGAUGAAGAAGUAUCAAAUGACUAAGACGAUGAAGAAGUACAAAACUGAUGAUUAUUAUUCAUAACAUGUUUAUUUUAAUUUUUAGGAAACAUUAAUUGUAUUUCUAAUGUUUAUAAUUUAUAUAAUAAUAUUUUGGUAUAUAUUUAAUGUUUACAUUUUA